AGAGACAGCACCAGUAGCUUCUUCCGGGAAGAGGAGGCCGGAAGUUGGACUUCGGCUGUGGUGGCGAAGGCGGUUACCAGUGUAAACCCAGUACCGAGGUUUGUGAUCUUCUGCAAUGGGUGAGCCACAGCAAGUGAGUGCCCUUCCGCCACCUCCGAUGCAGUACAUCAAGGAAUACACAGAUGAAAACAUUCAGGAAGGCCUCGCUCCCAAGCCUCCACCUCCAAUAAAAGACAGUUACAUGAUGUUUGGCAACCAGUUCCAAUGUGAUGAUCUUAUCAUCCGCCCUUUGGAAAGUCAGGGUAUCGAACGGCUUCAUCCUAUGCAGUUUGAUCACAAGAAAGAACUGAGAAAACUCAAUAUGUCUAUCCUUAUUAAUUUCUUAGAUCUCUUAGAUAUCUUGAUAAGGAGUCCUGGGAGUAUAAAACGGGAAGAGAAGCUAGAAGAUCUUAAGCUGCUUUUUGUGCAUGUACAUCAUCUCAUAAAUGAAUACCGGCCCCACCAAGCCAGAGAGACCCUGAGAGUCAUGAUGGAGGUGCAGAAGCGGCAACGCCUUGAGACAGCAGAGAGGUUUCAGAAGCAUCUGGAACGAGUCAUUGAGAUGAUUCAGAAUUGCUUGGCUUCUUUGCCUGAUGACUUGCCCCAUUCAGAAGCAGGGAUGAGAGUAAAAGCUGAACCAAUGGACGCUGAUGAUAGCAACAAUUGUACUGGACAGAGUGACCAACAAAGAGAAAAUUCAGGUCAUAGGAGAGACCAGAUUAUAGAGAAAGAUGCUGCCUUGUGUGUCCUCAUUGAUGAAAUGAAUGAAAGACCGUGAAAGAUGUUUCUUUUCCUUGCUGAUUUUUUCCUUUCAGUAAAUAGCAUAUAUAUUAGUUAAUUCACUUUUAGAGAAUUCUUUGAAGAGAUACAACUAGUAGAAGGCACGCGAACAGCUUGACUCUCCAGCUUUAUCAGUUGUGGGACGUCACAGGCAGUAUUUUCGUCUGUGGCAAGCAUAGCUAGAUUCCUACUUAGCUUAAAUGUAGUGCCCCAGUGAGAGUAAUCACCGUGAAGGGCAGUGUUCGCUGCUAUUGGGUGGAACGUCCCUGUUUUCAGAGGUGCAGUGAGCUGGAAGAUAUCCUCAGUAAUUGCAAGCUUUCGUCCUUGGAAAGUAGAUUUGUCAUUUGCUUUAAGAGUGAUAAAUAAUAAAGGAUAUCAAAAAAAGGCAAAAAAGACAAAAAAAAAAAAAAAAAAAAA
rnacentral:lncRNA from 1 species